AAGUCGUAACAAGGUCUCCGUUGGUGAACCAGCGGAGGGAUCAUUGCUGGAACUGUGUCCGCAAGGACACAACCCCAGAUACCCUUUGUGAACUUAUUCUUAUAUCGUUGCCUCGGCGCUGAGCUGGGGGCUUCUUUCCAAGGAGCUCUCCCAUGGUCUCUCGGGACGAUGGAGCAAGCCCGCCGGCGGCCCUUCUAAACUCUUGUUUUUAUUACGUAUCUCUUCUGAGUUAUUCAAAACAAAAUGAAUCAAAACUUUCAACAACGGAUCUCUUGGUUCUG
rnacentral:misc_RNA from 1 species